CCUCGGCCAGGCCCCGGCAGCAGAAGGGAGGCAGCUGUGCUGCAAACUACUGGAGUCCGGACAUGCAGGACCGCAGGCUGCAGGCUCCCAUUUGGCAGAAAGGACUUUUGCUGAAAUCCCCAGCGGGGCACUCGACCCCUCUAGUGGGUUGUGCCAUGCACUCCAUUGUCGCCGCCCCCGACCGGCCCCUGGCACCGUGUCCCUCCUACCUGAGCAGGCUCUGACUCCAGCCCUGGACACAGCUGGGGUGGCCACGGUGACUGCUGAGAAGAGGGGCUGUCCACACAGCCUGGUGGCUUGGAGCCCCGGGACCCCCACACCUGGGUCAGGGUGGGGCCGGAUGAGCUGCAGGCCUCUCGCAUGCCAUGUCCUCCUCCUCCUCCAAGGCAGGCGCCCGACAGCCCCGUGUGCAGGAGACGCACAGCACUCACCGACCCCAGGCGUGACUACGUUUGAGGCAACCAUGAAGGCUUCAGACAUUCAAACUUCUUAAUAGACCAGGCGUGGUGGCUCACGCCUGGAAUCCCAGCACUUUGGGAGGCUGAGCUUUCCUCAUUGGCCGUCAUGCCUUGGAUCAUUAAGGACACUUUGGAACGGAGCUUUGCUAUUCUCUGAAGAUACACAAAAUCCUCCACUGCUCACGUCAUAAUCUAUUUACCAACUGUGGAAAAUUCCGCGGUGCCUGUGGUUUUUAAAGUGAUGCUGAAGCGAG
rnacentral:lncRNA from 1 species